rnacentral:misc_RNA from 1 species
GAUGAAGAACGUAGCGAAAUGCGAUACUUGGAGUGAAUUGCAGAAUCCCGUGAACCAUCGAGUCUUUGAACGCAAGUUGCGCCCGAAGCCAUUAGGCCGAGGGCACGCCUGCCUGGGCGUCACACGUCGUUGCCCCCCCAUCUACUCCUUCGGGAUUGCGGGGGGCGGAUGAUGGCCUCCCGUGCGCCUCGUCGCGCGGUUGGCAUAAAUGCCAAGUCCUCGGCGACGCACGCCACGACAAUCGGUGGUUGCGAAACCUCGGUUGCCCGUCGUGUGCGGUCGUCGCGCAUCGAGGGCUCGAAAAAAUUGUCGGGCUCCGGCUCGGCUUUCAACGCGACCCCAGGUCAGGCGGGGUUACCCGCUGAAUUUAAGCAUAUCAAUAAGCGGAGGA